UGGGGAAUAUUGCACAAUGGGCGCAAGCCUGAUGCAGCCAUGCCGCGUGUGUGAAGAAGGCCUUCGGGUUGUAAAGCACUUUCAGCGAGGAGGAAGGUGGUGAGCUUAAUACGCUCAUCAAUUGACGUUACUCGCAGAAGAAGCACCGGCUAACUCCGUGCCAGCAGCCGCGGUAAUACGGAGGGUGCAAGCGUUAAUCGGAAUUACUGGGCGUAAAGCGCACGCAGGCGGUUUGUUAAGUCAGAUGUGAAAUCCCCGGGCUCAACCUGGGAACUGCAUUUGAAACUGGCAAGCUAGAGUCUCGUAGAGGGGGGUAGAAUUCCAGGUGUAGCGGUGAAAUGCGUAGAGAUCUGGAGGAAUACCGGUGGCGAAGGCGGCCCCCUGGACGAAGACUGACGCUCAGGUGCGAAAGCGUGGGGCAGCAAACAGGAUUAGAUACCCUGGUAGUCCACGCUGUAAACGAUGUCGAUUUGGAGGUUGUGCCCUUGAGGCGUGGCUUCCGGAGCUAACGCGUUAAAUCGACCGCCUGGGGGAG
rnacentral:rRNA from 1 species